GAGUAACUUAAACAAAGUAUUCAACUUACAACUGAAUGAUAUUAGCCCACCUAAUCUUUAUGAGCAAUACUC
rnacentral:tRNA from 1 species